UUAUGCUAUCUCUUUCUUACUUUAUUCCUCAGCAGCAAAGAGAAAUAUAAAACUGAAAGAGAAAAAAUGUAGAUAUGCAAUAAAAUAAUAACAGGUACAACCAGAUCUGCCUAGUAACAGGGCAGCCAAUCAGUCUCUAGGAACAGUCCAUAAAUCUCUAUCCUUGUACUUCCACUUCCUCUUCUUUGCCUUCUGAACCGAAGACCCAAAGCAAAAUAUCCAAGCAGUAACUAAGAAACGUCAAACCGGUAGACAUCAACAGACCGGAAUCAAGCUGUAAAACAAAGAAAUAUGUGGUAAACUCCAAACUUAGGAACUGAGUGCAACAUAUCGAAUAUACGUGACCUGCAAAUAGAGAGCAUCAUACUCAAAUUCAUGUACAUAUGUCACACUCUAAAACACCAUAUGUUCAAUACAAGUAACACAUGUGUACUUACCGUGAGAUAAGACAAACCCCCCG